rnacentral:piRNA from 2 species
CUCACAAAGAUGAGUGGUGAAAAUCUGAUC